rnacentral:lncRNA from 1 species
GCUAAAAAAACACUGCCCAAAAAAAAAACUUUGCCAAAAAAAGAGAAGAAAAACACUACCCAGAAAAAGAAAGAGAGAGAUUUGCCAAAAUCCUACUGCGUGAUCUAGUGUGCACUAGAAUAGGAGAAGCUGUGUGCACCCAUCCUCAACACCAUCGGAUCAAUCCUCAUCACGUCGUCAACCAUUGACCAGCCAACAGAACCAACCACGGUUUGACACAUAGGCGAGUUUACCCCUCCACGCGUGGACACGCGCGUACAAGAGUAGAACCCUUGUCCAAGGACUCUGAUUCGGUGUGUUUGUGGCGUAUCAUCGACACUGUGUACCCU